GUUAAAAGACCAGGCAGCUUCUCUCUAGUCCACUGAUCUUUUUAAUCACUUUUUGCCCAGGAUUAUGACUGCAAGAGGAAGGGAGAGGAACAUCCUGAGCAUAAAGCCUGCAGCAGGAUGGUUGGGAUUGCAAGUGAGACCUGUACACAAUUUACUAAUUUGGCUAAAGUGGAAGUCUUCUGCUUCCCAGUCACACAAUGACUUAUCCCUGUGUUACACAGGCCUGAGUACAACGUACAGCUGCAGUGCAGGAGAGGACUCCAGGCUAGAAGUUCCAACCUGAUGCUAAUCAUAAAAUCCUCGAGGAUAGAAGACCUUUAAGAUCAAGGCAAGCCAUAAGCCUAGCACUGCCAAGUCCACCAUAAACCUUGUCCCUGAGUGCCACAUCUACAACACGUUUUUCCAAUAUCUUCAGGGCUGGUGACUCAACCACUUCCCUGGGCAGACUGUUCUAGGGCUUGACAAACCUUUUAGUGAAGCAAUUUUUCCUAAUAUCCAAUCUAAAUGUCCCCUGGCGUGACUUGAAGCUAAUUUAACUGUGACUCAGGUGUGGCCAUACGAGCAGUGGGCUCUCAGGUGGGUACCUCUCUGAGGUGUCUCUCAGCAAGCCCUGGAGCAUCCUUGCUCCCAGCUCUGCCUGUUACAAAUCCAGUGGAGGUGGCACUCAGCAGCCAGGCACCAGGAAGGCAGACACUGCAAUGGCUGCUGCCACAAAACCUGGAUCCCUUAAUGCAUCUAACCCACGGCUCUCUGACUCACAGGGCAGAUAAUAGUGUAGAAGGGAUGCUAAAAACCAACAAGUUACUUAGGCAAUGCAGUAGCAGAAGGAAGGUGAGCAUGGCACACCUCUCUACAACUGCAUUUUGCUUUUCAUUCUUCACAACGGGACACGUACGGUGGGAUGGAAAUUUUCCCCGUUUCCAGGAUGCCACUUUUUCCAAUGCAAAUUUUUGUUGUUUUCCUCCUCAAAACUCUUCUCUCGUUCCAUGUCUUCUGGGUGCUCUGUGGACCAUGCAGAUCUGGCUGUGAGAUGUCCAUGCUCCCCUCCCUUCUGCUGGUGGGGAAGGAAUGUAGGCUGCUCCUCCCCAGAGGAGUGGGGCUGGUAGGGUGGAUGUGGCCCAACAAACCUUGUGCUCAGUCCCUGCAUUUUUGAAGCAGAGGUUAUGAAUGUUGGCCUUUUGUGUGUUUUCUGGAAAUGGCUGCUGUGAGAUUCCCAGUUCAUCACAGCAGAAGCAGGUCACAGCAUAGACUUGGUGUACUCUUGCUUUUGCACAGCAUGAGCUCCUGCACGAUGAACCUCAUUUCUGCAAACCUCAAUAAAUGUUUGGUUGUUGGCUUUGAAAUGUAAUUAAUUUUGUAAUGACAAUAAUUCUAUAACUUUAUUCCAUAAUAUGUUAUAGAAGUUUGACCACUAACUAGCUGUUUGAAUACAGCUUUAAUGGCUGAGCUGUUGUUGAAAUUAUAGUUUCACCUUUAGUGAUAAAGGACCUCUGGAUCUGCCAGCCUGAGUAAUUUAAUGUGCUUUUUUGGCCUACAGCUGUUAAUAGAUUUCAAAAUCACCAUUUUGAUAAAAUGUCUCAAGGAAGAUUUUUUUUUUAUUGCAGAUUCAUUUUUCACAUUUUGUUUUUCUCUGGUAAUUAUAGCAAAUCUAGCUGGUUUCAAUUUAAUUAAAAUAUCUUAACUUGGCAGGGUAACAUACUCAUAAAGUAUAGGAGUUUUCAAAUAUAAAAAAAUGCAAAUGUUUAUUGUGAAAAAAAAUCUUAUUUAUUUUAUGUGAAAUGACAGGCUUUUCUCAGAUAUUUAGCCUAAGUUUUAAAUCACUAAGGGCUAACUAUAUUGCAUAAUCAAACAAAUCCUAGAAGGUUCCAAUUGUUUUACUGGAACUUGAAAUGUAUUUCAUGCUUUCUAAAACGUUUUCUCAAUAUAUUGUUUCUUCUUCUAAAAUUAUAGUUGGGACUAGAGAGCAGUGAACCCAUAUUAAAUCUGAGUUGAACUAUAUUCUUCAGAGAUGCACUACAUUAUUUUUAAAUGAUGAAUUCAUGGAAACACUAUAAUCUCACCAGAACUACUGGAUCAUGUUGUUCUAGGGCUUUCUGUGUUUUCUGAAGUCACUGCCUCUCAGUCUAAGUGCAUCACUCUUUUAGUUGAUCUCCAUAUGAAAACUGUCCAUAUUUUUAGAGUUACAGCCAUAAACACCCUGACAUAGAAGGAUAUACUCUGCUUGCUUCAGAAAAAUUAUCUCCUUUUCUGAAUAUUUUGCCAGAACCUCCUGCAAAGAGUGAACACAGAGUCAUCAGAAACUCCAUCAAAUGAUGAUGUCUUUGCCCUCCCAAUGGGUGAUGUGCUGGGAGUGAGAGAAGAUUUUCAGAAGGUUUCAUGCUAUGUCAGUGUCUGAAAGUUCAGGUUCGCAAAAGCAUUUCUCAUUUGUCUAGAAAUCUCAGACAAUCUCUUUGUUUUAUCUGCUACAUGAUCUCCAGCCCUGCUGAAACAUCCUGAACAUAAGUGACACUCCAGCUGGGACACUGCAUCUGCAUGCAAAUAUCAAAUAUCUUCUUAGGAUGAGUUGUGAAAAACUGUCCAGAAAAAACAGUAGACUGGCACUGCUGGAAACAUGAAAUGUGAAAGGCUGCCAGCAGAGUCAGCUCGGGUUUGUGACAAUGAUCCUUUUAGAACUUGCAUCAUGUCAGUGUCCCAGAAGACUCCCUCCUGCCCACAGAACGAGUGAAUAUUUUAGUUUGCCUGCCUGGCAUCAAAACUGUGAGAAGAGUGACCUGACAUUCCUGCUCCUUGUUUGUGUUUGAGGAUGAUGCAGCUGAAGCAGGCGGGCAUUGCAGCUCCCAUCUAUCACAUGGCAAGUACCAUCUUCACAAGUCUUAUUUGGGCAGA